AUUGAUGGAUUUUUCUUUCGAGACACUCAAGGCCACACAGAUUGGAAAACCUGUGACUUGUCUACGAAAUCAUGGAUCUGAACAGAUUAAGCAUCUUGCCUGUACAUUGAUCCAGGAUUGGAAGGUCAUGAUAAAUGAAUGGUUCGAAGCUACAGAAGCCACUACAGAAGCAGAGAAGAAGGAGGAGGAAGAAGGACUUCCUUCUCCACCCUUGGAUUAGGGAGCUUUCUUUACAACUGCUUCAAUGGAGUUAUCACAGAAGUUAAAGACUUCAGAUGAGGAUUCUGUUCAAGUGAGAUUGGAAGUGGCAAAGAGGAAACUUCAGGAACGCCACUAAGAAGUAUUAGCAUUGUAAACCUCAACGAUAUUACUUUUUAGAAACCAGAAAAAUGCCUUCAGAAGAACAUUUUCUGAAAAAAUGAGUCAUUUUCAUAAAACAUUUUCAUUUUCAGUAUAUGGUUGUAUUCCAGAAAAUUGUCUUGCUCUA